UACGAAGGGGGCGAGCGUUGUUCGGAUUUACUGGGCGUAAAGGGCUCGUAGGUGGUCAACUAAGUCGGACGUGAAAUCCCUCGGCUUAACCGGGGAACUGCGUCCGAUACUGGAUGACUUGAGUUCGGGAGAGGGAUGCGGAAUUCCAGGUGUAGCGGUGAAAUGCGUAGAUAUCUGGAGGAACACCGGUGGCGAAGGCGGCAUCCUGGACCGACACUGACGCUGAGGAGCGAAAGCCAGGGGAGCAAACGGG
rnacentral:rRNA from 1 species